UACGUAGGUCCCGAGCGUUGUCCGGAUUUAUUGGGCGUAAAGCGAGCGCAGGUGGUUUAUUAAGUCUGGUGUAAAAGGCAGUGGCUCAACCAUUGUAUGCAUUUGAAACUGUUGAACUAGAUUGCAGGAGAGGUAAGUGGAAUUCCUAGUGUAGCGGUGAAAUGCGUAGAUAUUAGGAGGAACACCAGUGGCGAAGGCGGCUUACUGGACUGUAAAUGACGCUGAGGCUCGAAAGCGUGGGGAGCAAACAGG
rnacentral:rRNA from 1 species